rnacentral:misc_RNA from 1 species
AGAAAUAGCAAAUUCCCAGUCUGCCAAUUGAGUCUGAGAAGGCAAAUUCCCAUACAUCAAGAGGUAUGCAACUUCCACAUACGUACUACUCUCAGCCAAUUCCUCAAUCGGGUAACCUCUGUACCUAAGAAUUCCCUCAUCACCAUCAAUAUAACUGAUCGAUGACCGAACUGGAGCAGUGUUGAGAUAGCCUGGAUCAUACAACUUAAGACCCUUGUCAUUUGGUCCUGUGGUUAUCUUCUUCAAGUCAGUGGCCUUUACUGUGCCUUCUUCAGAUAUCUCAACCUGAUACCUCUUACCAGUUCUCUCAUCUACAAUACUCAACCUACCCUUCAAUAUUUCAGGCGGCGCAACCAUGGUCCGAGCUGACACGCAAUGAGCCUCGAGGGACGAACCCAUCACCGGCGGUUCCAAGAGAUGCG